CUAUAUAUAACUGUUCUAUGAAAAUGAAACAACGAACUACAUUUUUAUAGUACAUUACAUUACAGUCGGUCACAAAUAACAGAUGAUGGAGACACCUGCAUUGCGAGCUGUGAAUGCACACAAAAUUCACAUAUAGGGAUAAUAGUUACAAUGCCAUGAGUUGUAAAGUUCUUUACAGUCUUUUGCACCAUGGACACUGAAACAUUGGAGAUAAAGCUUUAACCUUGAGACUGUUCAAGUUUUUCUACGAUUUAAAUGGCGAAAUCUUUUGACUAUUUUUUUCAGACCACUCUUUCUCUUUUCUGUAUACUCAGUAUGGUUAAAAAUCAAAAAUUUAACUGAUUUAUGUAUUGCCAAUACAAAUGCAUUGCUCCCAGUUUUAGUCGAGAAGCAUUACUUUUUUGAAAUACAACUAUUUUUGCAGGUUCAAAAUAGGUGCUUGUUAAUUUAAUGUUUCCUCUACAUUUAUGUAUUUUUUUAGGACAAUGUCAUAGAGAUUUCUCAACUUUUUUGUUGUUCCAAUGCAAACAAACAAUGUCGAUGCCUACAUUUAGCAUUUGUAAUUACAGUAAUUAUAUUUUUUGGACAGAAAUGUAGAGGUGACUGUAUUUUGUCUUGGUUUUAUUUAUUUUUUUUUUUUAGUUUUUUUUUCUCCCCCUGCCUACCCUAAUUACAUAUGACUUCUAAUCUAUAAUCUUUUAUCUCACAGUGGCCCCAAGGAAAAAGCCAGAGAGGAAAAAGCCACAAAAGAGUAAGUACAUGAGUUGGUCAAUGCUUUUCUCAGUGUGUUGACAUUUUUGUGACAUUAGUGUUGUUGCUGUUUUUACCCCAGGUUAUUUCCAAUGGUUCCAUUGUUUUUAUUAUAUUCAAUACUUCAAAUGGUAUCUACUCCUAACAGACAACAUACAAAAUCUAGUUGGCUUAAUGUAUGAAAUUGCAUUAGGUGACCAAAAUCUUUUUUCAAGAAGUAACACUAUGGCUUUCUCAAUUAACAGCUGUGAAUCAGCAGCAGUACUUUUUUAAGCAUACCAUAUUGGAAUAGUAGUUAGAUUUCAAUGAUAAGUGGUUCAACUUUUGAUUAACAAUAAUCAUCACUCAUAAUCCUUGCAGAUCAGGUCAUUUUUUAAGUCUUCAGAGUUGUUUGUAUUUUGUCUACUCUAAGAAAUGUGUAAAAUAUGUUUUUGAUGUUUACAGAUUGUCCCUAUCACACUCGCCUAGAGGCUUUCCCCAUCAGGAGUGUUGUAAGAGAAAGAGUGAGAAAGGUUAAACAGUCAUAAUAGAAAUGCAUAAUUAAUCAAAGUGCAGCACUAUUUAGGAAUUUAUGUGUGGGCAGUAAAUACAGUAACUACCAUGUUUGUUAGGUAGAUACUUUUGUAUGUGUUAAUGGUUUUGAAUCACAGAUUAAGAAAGCUUGUACUAAACUGUUCAUCACAAGCUGUAAAUACCAAUACAUUUUCUUUGUUUGUUUAGUGUUUUUUCUGUAUCUUCUUUAUAGGGCAAAGCAGAAAUGCUGGUUAACUGGGAUCCCUGUCCUGUAUGUGGCAAGGAGUGGGCUGAUUCCUGGCAGCCGAAGGAUUUUCUUCAAAAGAAUGAGGAGAUUUGAAUUGAAGAAAUGUUGAAUUUAAAAUAGAUUUUGGUUUCUGCCUGUUUAUUACAUUCUUACUGUGUUUUUCUAGUUGAAAAGAUGUUGUCUCAAUUAGGAUUAAAUGGUAUUUUACUUAAUA